GUGUGCUGCUACUCAAAGGCAACAGAUUUGCGUCUCCUGGGAGCUUGUUAGAAAUGCUGAAUCACAGCCUCAACCUCUCUCCCCAACCACUGAGUCUAGGCCUGCAUUGUAAAAGGAGAUCCCUGUGCACAGUACAGAUCUAGAGCUUUGGAUCCUACCUCGGAUGUGGUCGUCAGGAAAGACCUCUCUAAGGAGGUGGCAUUUUAGCUGAGACCUGUAUAAUGAGAAAGACGCAGCACGUAAAGGUCAGGACAAGGAGUGGCCCAGACCAUGGGAACAGCAAAGCAAGGCAUUCUGCAAUCGGAAUGAACAGUGGAAGACCAGUGUGGUCUGCAGAGAGUGCAAGAGGGACACAGAAGUUAUUGUAGUGCUGAGCCCUGAGCUACCUGAAGUGAAUAAGGAUUAUGCUGAACCGAUGUGGUUUGAGGAUCACCUACCGGGCCCCCCUGCCCAAAUAUAUUUAUCCUCAGGUUGACCAUUUCAAAGGAACCUGUUCACACAAAAACAUGUACACAAAUGUUCAUCACAGAAUUAUUCAUAAUAGCCAAAAGGUGCAAACAACCCAAAUGUCCAUCAACUGAUGAAUAGAUGGACCAAAUAUGGUCUAUCCAUCCAAUGGAAUAUUAUUCAGCUAUAAAGAGGAGUGAAGUGAUUCAUGUGACAAUGCAGAUGAACCUUGAAAAUAUUAUGAGAGAAAUCUGGAAAUUCACUUUCCUCUCACAGCCAAGGAAUUAGAGUGGGAAGUUUUGAUCUAGAUCAAAGUACUACUGCUGGUCUGCCUCAAUUUUUAUUAACCCAAACCUUUGAAGCAUGAGGUUGACAUUAGGUUGCUUCUGAAGCUACUUCAUCCCUAUUCUCCCACAUGUCUAGGUACUUACUGGAUUCCUGUGCAUUUCAUGAUUUUAUGGAAUUUCUCAAUGUAUAUUAUAAAUGAUGGUGUUCAGCUCCACAACCCAGGAAAUUAUUGUGGCUGUGAUAGUUCCUUUACAAUGUUGGAACAUUUCAAUAAUUCUACAUUUACUUGAAAAUGCACAUAUUAUUUUCCAAAUCAGAGAAUAAAUACGCUGUUCAAAUAAUUUCCUCAAAUAUUGAGCUGAUAUUUCAAAGCGAAUGACCCGCGUAAAGGCUUCUAAUAUAUACACCAAGAAAAGCCCCUGGGUAUCUGGAAGUCAACAAAAAGAAACUGAAAUAAGGUUAUUGCAUGUGCUGAAAACCCUUCCCAACUCAUGACUUACAGAUUUGUAGAAAUAUUGCAAUUUGAAAUACUCUGUUGGUUCACAUUAUUGCUUACUUGAGGCAACUAAAUAUUUCUGUAUCCCAAGACCAAUAUGAUGGUAAACCCAGUCCUUUUCUAUUGGAAACUCCAAGUUUUUAGAUCAAAACCUCAGAGUGGAGUCCUAAAAUUGCUUAGCUGUGAAUAUUUUUUAGUGAAGCCGUAUCUUACAACCACAUUUGCUGAACCAUAAGCUUUGUUGAGCUGCGGUCACCCUCCAACUGCCCUGUGGCCUACUUAAUUUAUGCCCAAAGGAAUGCAUAAAUAUGAUAAUCAGAAUGUUCAUAGCCCUAAGACUCAAAUGAUUCUCUAGUUUGUUUACUAGUUUGAGGGUGUGAAACUAUUGUUUUUUUUUACAAGGUAAAAGCAAAUUGCUGACAAAUUUCUUAUGGGAAAAACAAUUUGCUUAAUAUUUCAACUCCAAUGUUACAAAACAGUAAAUUGAGAUGUCGAUCCAUGCAUGUCUUGCACCAACAGUCAGUCUAAUGAGAUUUGAAACGUGAAAGCAUCUUUUUGAUAUUUUACUGAAAUUGACUCUCUUCAAAUCCAAUCUGCAAAGUAUGGCACAGGUUCGAUAUUAAAUUUCCAGAGAACUAACAAGACAUUAUGGGAACUGAAAAUAUUGAAAGGUAUUUUUCUGUUUUUAUUCGUCCCUCAGAUGAGUGGCCACACAUUUUGCCUAUCUGGCAUUAGGCUUGCACCUGUAUAACUUCCGAGGCUGUUAAAAUUAUAAAACAUCGUAAAAUUAAGUUAGCAAAGAAUUCCAAAAUGUUUUUCUGCUACUUGAGAAUAAAUAUACAGAAAUAUCUUCACAAGGAUUCCAGUUAUAGAGAAAGGAUUUCAAAAAUUCAAGAAAAGCCCAGAGGGUACAAGGAAAAUAGAAUUGAUAUCUCAUUCCUAAAAGGAUUGGUUUACUGUUUUCUAUAUAUUCUAACUCUCCUAGAGCGAAAUGAUUUGAAAUACUCCUCUGGUUCAUCCUCCUCUGUUUAGCCACCGUUAUGUUCUAAAAGCUUAUAUUUCAAAGGUAUAAUGUUUAAAGAGAAUAUUAAACAAAACACCAGGCCAGAGAUGAAUGAAAGGAUGGAGAGAAUGUUAGUGUUUCCUUUAUUUCAACUUACUGAAAUAAUUUAAGACAAGGAUUUGGUUCAAAUUACUCAUAUCAUAAAAUUCCAAGUUAAGAG